rnacentral:rRNA from 1 species
CCUUUGCUGAGGAUACGGUUAACGGAGCGAAAGCGACGUUCAACCUCAAAAGAAGCAGAGGGGGCUUAGUGGUGGGGUGACUGCGUACCUUUUGUAUAAUGGGUCAGCGACUUAUAUUCUGUAGCAAGGUUAACCGUAUAGGGGAGCCGGAGGGAAACCGAGUCUUAACCGGGCGUUAAGUUGCAGGGUAUAGACCCGAAACCCGGUGAUCUAGCCAUGGGCAGGUUGAAGGUUGGGUAACACUAACUGGAGGACCGAACCGACUAAUGUUGAAAAAUUAGCGGAUGACCUGUGGCUGGGGGUGAAAGGCCAAUCAAACCGGGAGAUAGCUGGUUCUCCCCGAAAGCUAUUUAGGUAGCGCCUCGUGAAUUCAUCUCCGGGGGUAGAGCACUGUUUCGGCUAGGGGGCCAUCCCGGCUUACCAACCCGAUGCAAACUGCGAAUACCGGAGAAUGUUAUCACGGGAGACACACGGCGGGUGCUAACGUCCGUCGUGAAGAGGGAAACAACCCAGACCGCCAGCUAAGGUCCCAAAGUCAUGGUUAAGUGGGAAACGAUGUGGGAAGGCCCAGACAGCCAGGAUGUUGGCUUAGAAGCAGCCAUCAUUUAAAGAAAGCGUAAUAGCUCACUGGUCGAGUCGGCCUGCGCGGAAGAUGUAACGGGGCUAAACCAUGCACCGAAGCUGCGGCAGCGACACUGUGUGUUGUUGGGUAGGGGAGCGUUCUGUAAGCCUGUGAAGGUGUGCUGUGAGGCAUGCUGGAGGUAUCAGAAGUGCGAAUGCUGACAUAAGUAACGAUAAAGCGGGUGAAAAGCCCGCUCGCCGGAAGACCAAGGGUUCCUGUCCAACGUUAAUCGGGGCAGGGUGAGUCGACCCCUAAGGCGAGGCCGAAAGGCGUAGUCGAUGGGAAACGGGUUAAUAUUCCCGUACUUGGUGUUACUGCGAAGGGGGGACGGAGAAGGCUAUGUUGGCCGGGCGACGGUUGUCCCGGUUUAAGCGUGUAGGUGUGUGUUCCAGGUAAAUCCGGUUCACUUUAACACUGAGGCGUGAUGACGAGGCACUACGGUGCUGAAGCAACAAAUGCCCUGCUUCCAGGAAAAGCCUCUAAGCAUCAGGUAACAUCAAAUCGUACCCCAAACCGACACAGGUGGUCAGGUAGAGAAUACCAAGGCGCUUGAGAGAACUCGGGUGAAGGAACUAGGCAAAAUGGUGCCGUAACUUCGGGAGAAGGCACGCUGACACGUAGGUGAAGUGAUUUACUCACGGAGCUGAAGUCAGUCGAAGAUACCAGCUGGCUGCAACUGUUUAUUAAAAACACAGCACUGUGCAAACACGAAAGUGGACGUAUACGGUGUGACGCCUGCCCGGUGCCGGAAGGUUAAUUGAUGGGGUCAGCGCAAGCGAAGCUCCUGAUCGAAGCCCCGGUAAACGGCGGCCGUAACUAUAACGGUCCUAAGGUAGCGAAAUUCCUUGUCGGGUAAGUUCCGACCUGCACGAAUGGCGUAAUGAUGGCCAGGCUGUCUCCACCCGAGACUCAGUGAAAUUGAACUCGCUGUGAAGAUGCAGUGUACCCGCGGCAAGACGGAAAGACCCCGUGAACCUUUACUAUAGCUUGACACUGAACAUUGAGCCUUGAUGUGUAGGAUAGGUGGGAGGCUUUGAAGCGUGGACGCCAGUCUGCGUGGAGCCGACCUUGAAAUACCACCCUUUAA